GUACGGAGGGGGCUAGCGUUGUUCGGAAUUACUGGGCGUAAAGCGUACGUAGGCGGCUUUGUAAAGUUAGAGGUGAAAAGCCCGGGGGCUCAACUCCGGAAUUGCCUUUAAGACUGCAUCGCUUGAAUCAUGGAGAGGUGAGUGGAAUUCCGAGUGUAGAGGUGAAAUUCGUAGAUAUUCGGAAGAAACACCAGUGGCGAAGGCGACUCACUGGACAUGUAUUGACGACUGAGG
rnacentral:rRNA from 1 species